UGCAGCAAGUUCCAUACUUCAAACACCAAAUAUGAACCAGCAGCUGCAGUCCACUCCUCUUGGCAGAUACCACACACAAAUCAGCAACAUCAGUUCAACCCAGGAGAACUUAAGACUCACCAACCAGCCCAAGUCUGCAGGAAUCUCAUGAGACAUUGUUUGUUCUGAAGCAGGAUGACAUCAUUCAAGCCAUACAAAAUUCAAGCAGGGUUGGGAGGCAUCCCUCAGGCAUUCGAGCAUGGGUGGCAUGGCUAGCAAACUGUCCCAGUGUAUUCGGAACUUAAGUAGCUUCAUGCAUACUACUUUGAGACAGGGAGGACUAGCUUCACUCUGUCAUGGUCAUGUCUGAAAUGUUCACAUGGCGAUUAUUACCCAGAUGAUGUCGUUCUGAGGCAGAAGGCGAUGCUAAUUUUG